rnacentral:rRNA from 1 species
UACGUAGGUGGCAAGCGUUGUUCGGAAUUACUGGGCGUAAAGGGCGCGUAGGCGGCCCGCUAAGUCGAACGUGAAAUCCCCGGGCUCAACCCGGGAACUGCGUCCGAUACUGGCGGGCUUGAAUCCGGGAGAGGGAUGCGGAAUUCCAGGUGUAGCGGUGAAAUGCGUAGAUAUCUGGAGGAACACCGGUGGCGAAGGCGGCAUCCUGGACCGGCAUUGACGCUGAGGAGCGAAAGCCAGGGGAGCAAACGGG